GAUGAACGCUGGCGGCGUGCCUAAUACAUGCAAGUCGAGCGAACGGACGAGGAGCUUGCUUCUCUGACGUUAGCGGCGGACGGGUGAGUAACACGUGGAUAACCUACCUAUAAGACUGGGAUAACUUCGGGACACCGUAGCUAAUACCGGAUAAUAUUUUGAACCGCAUGGUUCAAUGGUGAAAGACGGUCUUGCUGUCACUUAUCGAUGGAUCCGCGCUGCAUUAGCUAGUUGGUAAGGUAACGGCUUACCAAGGCAACGAUGCAUAGCCGACCUGAGAGGGUGAUCGGCCACACUGGAACUGAGACACGGUCCAGACUCCUACGGGAGGCAGCAGUAGGGAAUCUUCCGCAAUGGGCGAAAGCCUGACGGAGCAACGCCGCGUGAGUGAUGAAGGUCUUCGGAUCGUAAAACUCUGUUAUUAGGGAAGAACAUAUGUGUAAGUAACUGUGCACAGCUUGACGGUACCUAAUCAGAAAGCCACGGCUAACUACGUG
rnacentral:rRNA from 1 species